rnacentral:rRNA from 1 species
CCUCGGGACGCAGCAGUGGGGAAUAUUGCACAAUGGGGGGAACCCUGAUGCAGCGACGCCGCGUGAGUGAAGAAGUAUCUCGGUACGUAAAGCUCUAUCAGCAGGGAAGAAAAUGACGGUACCUGACUAAGAAGCCCCGGCUAACUACGUGCCAGCAGCCGCGGUAAUACGUAGGGGGCAAGCGUUAUCCGGAUUUACUGGGUGUAAAGGGAGCGUAGACGGUAUGGCAAGUCUGAAGUGAAAGCCCAGGGCUUAACCCUGGGACUGCUUUGGAAACUGUUAGACUAGAGUGCUGGAGAGGUAAG